rnacentral:sRNA from 1 species
UUUUUCUGGGGUUAGCUAUAGAGAGAGGAGCCCCGCCUCAGUCUUUUCUUUAGGGGCAGCACCUUCUAUUACAGUCCCGGGAUCCCAAAGCACGCUAUUUGGGUUUGGUAGAGAAAACCAGGUGUAAAGGACUCUGUCUACUAGUGACGAUGUUGAAGACAGAGAAAAUGAAAAGGGUCGCCUUGAAGAAGCCUACGAGAAAUGUGACCGUGACCUGGAUGAAUUGAUUGUGCAGCACUACACAGAACUGACGACAGCCAUUCGCACAUACCAGAGCAUCACAGAGCGCAUCACUAACUCCCGAAAUAAAAUAAAGCAGGUAAAAGAGAACCUACUUUCAUGUAAGAUGCUGCUGCACUGCAAACGGGAUGAGCUUCGGAAACUAUGGAUUGAAGGAAUUGAGCAUAAACAUGUCCUGAACUUGUUGGAUGAAAUUGAGAAUAUCAAGCAAGUGCCUCAAAAGCUGGAACAGUGCAUGGCCAGCAAGCACUAUCUCAGUGCCACUGACAUGCUGGUGUCAGCAGUUGAGUCUUUGGAGGGCCCCCUGCU